UGUUCAAGCCAGACGGAAAGUUUUAAACCCAAAACGAAGUGAGUGAGCCUAGUUGAAACGCUCAGAGUUUGAAGUCGUGAAGAGUUGUGGAGAGGUGAAAAGUGCGGAAAAAGGACAUCAGGACCCCGCAGUUUUAGUGUGAAGCCUGCAAAGGUUUCCCCUUCGCCCUACCACGUCCUGGUGCUACAACCGGGUAGAUUCCGGCAGCGUUGUUGGCCGAAGGCCGAUCCGUCCAAAUAUCGGCAGCCUAGGACGUGUAGGCGGGUCCAUUCAGCUGCAGCUGUACCCCAAAGCCACCCCGAGGCAAGAGACGCGGCCAGACGUGGCCUGAAGAACCUGCGGUACCACGUGCGCCGAAGGAAGGAACGCCGGCGACCGGCGGUGAGGAGAAAGGAGGUUGCUGCGGAGGAAAGGGGCCCCGAACAUUAGGAAAAAGGUUAGAUAGAAUAUAAGAAAGUGGGGA